AUCCAUUACAUGUAUCUAUCAGGUUUGUGCAACCUAAUACAUUUAUUAAAGGUAAAACAAAAGAGAUUUAGUAGAUGGGGCAUCACUACUAGGUAGUCCAACCACCAACUACAAUUAAUUCCAGAGUUUAAAUAAAGGAUAUGGCUUCACCACAGGAUCAUGUCCUAUCUAUUGUUCCAUUUUAAACCCUGCACCAGGCAGGAUCCUAUCUAUUACUUGACAAGGAUGACCAACAAAACCUAGAUGGGUCAUGCUCAGCAUUGUCAACUCCUGACAUGCAAACCUUUGAGUUUGACAUGUGAACAAAUCCCCAUUUGGCCAACCUUGCAUAUAUAUACACCAGGGCUAAAAUUUUCAAGUCUUCAUUGAUCCAAACAAUCCUGCAAGCAAUGAAGGCUGUGGUGAGAUUGCUGCCUGCCCUUUUCAUCUUGCAAGCCAUCUUCGUUGCGACGACGGGUGAUGCUCGCUACCUGAGGGAUCACAGCCGGUGCGAUGAGUUUUAUGCGGCAGAGGAAGGUGAGACACUUCAAACCAUCAGUGUAAAGUGCAACAAUAUCUUCAUUCUGGAAGACAAUCCUCAGAUCAACGACACCGAUGAUAUCGGGCCAGGAACAGUGCUGUAUAUGCGGCAGAUGUGAAAUAUGUAAUAUUGUAUGCAUCACACAGAAUCCUUUGUAACUUUUUAUUUCUAAUCCUGAAAACAUAAAUGAGAAAAUAAUAUGUGCAGAUAAAACAUAUGUGAACUCUCUGUCCCGUCAUAUAUUUAUGCAUCAAAUAUUUAAAAGUUAGUUAAAUAGGACCAAACCAGCUGUGGGAAUGCUGAUAGUAACGAUUCUGGUUGCCGGAUAUUUGCGGAGGCUGUGUUCCUUCACUAGUUUUGCUCUUGGAAAAGGGCAUGUUUUGCUGCCGUAGGAGAUAUUCAACAUGGUGAGUUUGGUUUGUUCCUGUUUCUUGGACUUUGGCUCUCUUCUGAACUGCUCUUUGCUGCAGCCAUGUUUCUGACAUUGCUUCCGCUGAGAUUCUACUUUCACCACAUAUGCUUUUGUUGAAGCUGGAACAUGUCACCACAGGAAAAUCCACUGGGUUCUUUGGACUAUAUUUUCUUCUUUAAGUGCCGUUGCAUAUUUUUCAGGACCAUGCCGUAUUGAUGCCAGUUUGCUUUUCUAUAAGAUUUAGCUGACUUUUGAGACUUCAAUAGCAACACGUCUCCUUUGCAGGGAUUGCCUUCCUUCUACUUCAUCUCUAAAACAUCCACCUUGGAUAAUACUAGUUUAAAUAAUUUGGAUAAAAUGGUGGUCAAUAGCCAUAGUUAUCGAUUAUUUAUUUAGUCAUAAGAUAUUAUAACAAUACAUUACACAAGUGAAUGUUUCACCAAUUUAUUCUGGAAAGCUGAUAAUGGCAUAAUAUUAUAACUCACUGUUUACUAGCGGCAAACAAACAUGUAAACAAAGUGCUAAAAUGAGUCUUAGGUUGAGAGUUGCUGCCACAGAGCCACAGCAGGUUGCUGUAUAUUACGAGCAUUGCAUUUUGAUCAAACAAUAACUGUUCACCAAGUGGCAAACAGACAACUGCUGAUCCCGAUGCACAUGCCUCGGGAGAACUGUAAAUGCUUACCUUGAACAAGAACAGCAAAAAUUUAUGCCAUAAGAGAAAUUUUAAAAUAUGUGAUCAGCCUAUAAUGUCUCGUCUAACUUGGCAAAUCACAGUAGACUCUAAAACACAAAUUGUCUCAUCCAAAGUAAUGAUGGAUGAGACAAUUCACUAAAUGGUUUCUAAAAACAUUCUACAGAAGCAUCAGCAAGAGAAAAUGAUAGGAAGCCAAGCAUAACAAAUUCUUUCCCAUGUCUUAUCAACUUAUUUUGUUAUUUCUCCUCACUUUUUCUUAUUAUACUAGGAAGAAAACUUUUCCUAAGAUUUUUAUCUUCCUUACCAUGUAAUCUUGUUCCUAUGUAUUCUUCUUUCUUUGCAGCCAAUAUAGAACCUAAAUGAGACUCCAAGGAUAAUUAGGAAUUAACACUCCUAAAAGAAGUUAAAAAUGAAAUUAUCUGGCAGACUGAAAUGAAAGAGGCUCAAAUAAUACACUAGCCAAUAAAGUUCACAAACUCUCACAUCCCAGAUUUAUAAAAAGAAUAAUAAAUUAAUAUUUUAUUAUUCAUAAUUUACAUAAUAAACUUCCUCUUUUAUUUUUUUUAAAUUCAAAUCCUUACCUUUACAAUAGUAAAUAUUCUAUUAAUUAGAAAAAUGAUCACACAAAGUCUCUUCCACCUCAGCUUCAAAUCUAUUACAAAAUAGUAGAUUACUUUGAAAAUAAAUAUAAGAUAAAACAUAUCAACAACCACACAUGUUAGUAGGAAUCUCAGAAAAAUCAUAAAAAUAAUCUUUAAUAUUCAUGAAAUAUAAAUAAAUAUCAAUAAUUUAUUAAGAAAUUAUAAUAUGUCGAUUCAUCGUAAAACUUAUGCAAUAGAAAAACGAUGAUAAUUUCUUACAUAAUAAACAAAAUCAUGCAUCAGCUACAUACAACACAUACAUAAUAACUAAAAAACAAAGAUAUACAUUACACCCAAUAGUGCACUCUCCAAACAGUGGAUGGAGAGACAUAUUCCACGGGAUGAAUUCCUCUCAACAGCGGAUGAAGAUAAUCCAUCUCGCAUUCCCAACAACGGAUGGAGUAGUAUCCCUCACCCGCCCAAGUGGGGACAUGUUCCUCCCAACAACGGAUGGAGGAACCAUCUAACCAUCACGUCUGAUGGUCCGCUAAUCCCCGAAGGGAAUCGCCAUACCUGCCCUCGGCAGGGAUAUAUAAAUAUCCAUAAUCAUUCAUUUACACUCAUCCAUUCAACACAUGCAUUAAGAAAUCAAUAUGAUUAAACAUUAUGAGAUAUCAUAUAAAUUUAAUAGACUAUGUUCAUUGGUGGCUCCGCACUAUGAUGGGCCCGUAGCUCCUUCCACAGGUUGUACUCUCAAUGUAAACUACUAGUCUAAUCACAUCUACUACAUGAUACUAAUCAUAUCAAUAUCAUAAACAUAAGAAAAUAGAAAACCAAUAAUUAUUUUCAAAUGACAUUUUCAGAUAAAACCUUUAAAUUCAUCAAAUCGAAACAUCAAUCUCUCAAUAGUCCUCAAUCAACCAAAACCCUAAUUAGAAUAGCUCAAUUGACUUAAAUCAAAUUCAAUUCGAUGAUGAUCAAACGGAACCAACCUCAAAUUCUUAUAGAACCGGUCUGGAAUCACCCUAGACCGGUCUAAUCUAGAUUUGAUUGAUCUCGAUUAGGUCAAGUAGAUUUGAACUAGUCAAGUUAGUUUGGAACCAACCUAAAUUGACUUUAGCUGAUCAAACCUAUCUGAUUUAGCCAAUUAACGAGCUCAAACUAAUAAAGGGAGAGGAAAUUAGACUAUGUCGUAUAGUGCUAGCCCAAAUCGAACCAACCCACCUAAGUCUUAGAUGGGUCACAUACGCUACAUAUGCCUGUUCCAAGUAAUAGGUUGAUUUGAGGUACAACGAGCUAGAUAGAGGAGCAAUGAUGUGUCUAAUGCCAAUCGCAUAAUUGGGCAUGCUUAACUUCAUGGACUAAGCGAAGCCUUAUUCAUAAGUUGAGCUGAACCUUACCACUGAACUAGGCCAUGUUUGGCUCGUGAGUUGGUCGUACCUAGAUACAUGAGUUGGGGUCGUAUCUGACCACAUGGACUGGAUCGUACCUAGUCGUAUGAGCUGGGACAAAUAUAACCACAUAGACCGGAUCAUACCUGGCCACAUGGGUUGGGUCAUGCUUGGCCAUAUGGAGUAAAUCGUACAUUAUUACAUGGGCUAGCUCCUACUUGGCCACAUGAGCUAGGUCAUGCCUAGACGCAUAAGCUAGGCUAUACUUGGCCACAUGGGAUAGGUUAUAUAUGACCACAUGGGCUGAGUCGAUCUGGUCUAAUAGAUCAACCUGACUCAAGUCAGAUCCCAAUUAAACUCCUCUUAAAAUAUUUAAAGAAUGACUCAAAUCCAUUAAUUAAAUUCAUGACCUUAAAUUUAAAACUAAUUACAUUAUAGAAAUUCACACAUACUUCUUAAAAAUAUAGAUAUAUCUAAUUAAAUAAAUUAAAACUAUUAUGCUAAUCCAAAAAUAAGAAUUUUAAUAAUUAAAUCAAUAUUAAAAUUUACUUAAGCUUCAGAGAUCAAUAUAAAUCAAAUAAUCAUUCUAACAUCACAAAAUAAUUAUCAUUAUUUACUAAUCAUGAAAUUUCAAAAUUAAAACAUCAUAUCAUAAAAUUAUAACAAUCUCAACAUCAAGAUUUCAAAAUAUAAAUCAAAGCUAGUUAGAAAAGAAAUGAUCCUACCUCUUCUCGACUAUCCUUUCCUCGAUAUCAUCUCCUCGGGAAGUCCUCUUCUCAAUCCUCCCAUUAUUAAACUCGGUGAGAAAGGAGGGAGGAGUAGUCCCCAUUAUAUAAGAGAAGAUGAGAUCUCCCCAAAAAAUAAGUAAUAAUUUAAUUCUUAUUUUUAAUUUAUUUUUAUUUUCUUUUUACACACAAAGAGAGAAAUAUAAUAUUUAUUUCUUAUAGUUCACACAUGAAAAUAGAAUGUAAACUAUUUACUUCCUAAAAAUCAAAUUACUCAUUAGGAAAUAAAUAAAUUAAUAAUUUAAUUGAUUAGUAGAAUUUCUAACUUAUUCACAUGAGUAAGGAAAUCAAAUUUAAUCAUUUCUUUAACUAUAGUACACAAAUAUAAAAGUUAAUAAUAAAGUAAUACAUCAUUUAUAGUAAUUAAUUUAUGUUAAGGAAGAAAUGAUCGAUGAUUACAUUAUCGGAUAAUAUCUAAUUUAUUAUCAGAUAAUAUCAUUUAUAAUAAUUAAUUUAUUUUUAAUUUAUUUUUAAUUUUCUUUCACACACAAAGAAAGAAAUAUAAUAUUAAUUUCUUAUAGUUCACGCGGAAUGUAAACUAUUUACUUCCUAAAAAUCAAAUCACUCAUUAGGAAAUAAAUCAAUUAAUAAUUUAAUUGAUUAGUAGAAUUCCUAACUUAUUCACAUGAUUAAGGAAAUUAAAUUUAAUCAUUUUCUUACCUUAACUAUAGGACACAAACAUAGAAGUUAAUAAUAAAGCAAUACAUCAUUUAUAGUAAUUAAUUUAUGUUAAGGAAGAAAUUAUAGGUGAUUACAUUAUCGGAUAAUAUCUAUUUGUAAGUGAAAAAAAUAUGCUAAAAACAGGAUAUUGUUUUAUGUAAAUUAUUUCCUGCAUAAAACCUGCAGUUUGUACCAUUAUUUUAUAAAUUUAAUCAUCGAGGAAUUGGUUAAUAAGAGUAUCGGCUAAGUCAGCAAAGAACAAGUAUAUUUCUGGUUCCCCUGAAUUUCUAGUGAUCAAUAAAAAUUGAUGCAUAUAAGACUUUGUCACUAUCAAAUGCCUGUAGUAUAAAUGAAUUAUCAUUGUGAGUAAUCCUAGAGUACUGGCUUUUGCUUGCAUGGUAUCAUAAUCUCCUCAAACAAACUAAUAGAUCUUCCUGAAUCUAUGUUUUAUUGUAAAAAAUCUCAUUCAAAGGUAUGUUGUAUGUAUCAGUUAUAAGCACUUCCAGCAAAACAUGCCAUAUCAUUUUCCUUCUUCCACCAAUUUUGUUAUGGUCUGUAAUAUAUCCAACCAGGAUAAGAUUAUUGUUUGGCAUACAACUUAAUAUGCCACCAAUUACAUCCAUGCAAGCUGAGAGGUAAGGAAAAUGAGCAAAUCAACAGAUGUGAGUCGAGAGAGACAGCUGCCUCUCAUACUUCUCAGACAGUAGCAUCGCAUAUAUUAUUUUAAAACUUUGGUUUCCUUUAGUUGAAUAUUACAAUUUGUUUCAUCUUCCCUUCUUUACGCACAUAAGAAAAUUAUGAAUGAUAAAUGUAUUGGAUACCAUUCUUACAGUUCCAGAUUGUUGAUAGGUCUAGUGGCAAUUCAGAUUAACUAAAGUUGACAGGAUGCAGAUGGACUCAUUUGACUAUGGUAUUGUUGUCAACAUACUGAAAAAUUAAUAUUAUCUAAACUCCGAUGAUCUGAACACCAUGCAAGCCUUACAAAAUGUUGAUGCUUGUGUAAUCAAUUUUCCAUUGUGAACAAACAAAACAGGUAUUUAUUAUAAGUUGCAUGUCCUUCCUCCUGAAAGAUUACAGUUGAUAAAAGGAGCAACUUUAAUCUUCUGUAAUAGGUCUAUAAUCAUCUUUCUAAGUCUGACUCAAAAUUGUUUUUCCCACGUAUCUUGAACUACCUUAUGGAGAAUGAUGCCAAGUUCGGCCUCAAUAAUAAAUCUAGUAGAAAAAUCAAGACAAGCUAUUUUGAGAAGAUAUUUGCACUUCUUUAACUGACUCAGAACGUAUUAGACAAUUGUUCUUUCAAAUUAUGCUAGUUUUCUUCAUGUAAGACAUGUAAGACAAAUUGAAGCGAUUAACAUCUUCCAGAUCAAAUUAGGUUUACGCAUGCUUAAAAAUGAAAUUUUGGUUCUUGAAAACAAUUCCACAAGGUAAAUGACAAUCGCUACGUACACUUCGAGAUUCCAGAUUUAUCCGAUAGUAGAACAGCUAGAGCUCGAUUAAGGCAUUACGGAACUGAACAUUGCAUCAACAAAGAAACUAGAAAAUCGUAGAGAGAAACGAGAAGGCCGAGGAAAAGUGAGCACAUUGCGGGAGAGGAGGUCGAGGACGGGGAGGGUCGUCGAUGGAUCCGAUCUCGUCCAUGCUGCAGUCGUUCCUGGGGCGGUCUCCGAUGGUCUUGUCGGGCUCGACGGCAGCGGCGGCGUGAGCGGAGAGAUCGGAUCAGGAGCAUGCUGCCGCCCUCGCUCUUCCCGCUUCUCUUCCACGCGCCUCCGCAAAUCACAUAUGCC
rnacentral:lncRNA from 1 species